rnacentral:rRNA from 1 species
UACGAAGGGGGCUAGCGUUGUUCGGAAUUACUGGGCGUAAAGCGCGCGCAGGCGGUUCUUCAAGUCAGAGGUGAAAGCCCAGAGCUCAACUCUGGAAUGGCCUUUGAGACUAGAGAACUAGGGUACGGGAGAGGUGAGUGGAAUUCCGAGUGUAGAGGUGAAAUUCGUAGAUAUUCGGAAGAACACCAGUGGCGAAGGCGGCUCACUGGCCCGUUACCGACACUCAGGCGCGACAGCGUGGGGAGCAAACAGG